ACUUGUCUUCACAGCUGGAUGUCCCCUCAUCGACAGCUGGAGAGCGAAUGAGCCGGUGGAGUAGGAGGAGGACUUAUUUAUGAGAGCUCUACAGGGGUGGAGCUUCGGUUCCCCUGCAGUGUCACAACGGACCCCUCAGCCCAACCACGCAAGACAAUCUGGAUGUCCCCUCAUCGACAGCUGGAGAGCGAAUGAGCCGGUGGAGUAGGAGGAGGACUUAUUUAUGAGAGCUCUACAGGGGUGGAGCUUCGGUUCCCCUGCAGUGUCACAACGGACCCCUCAGCCCAACCACGCAAGACAAUCUGGAUGUCCCCUCAUCGACAGCUGGAGAGCGAAUGAGCCGGUGGAGUAGGAGGAGGACUUAUUUAUGAGAGCUCUACAGGGGUGGAGCUUCGGUUCCCCUGCAGUGUCACAACGGACCCCUCAGCCCAACCACGCAAGACAAUCUGGAUGUCCCCUCAUCGACAGCUGGAGAGCGA